AAAUUUAUUGAUGAGUAACCCGCCUUUUCAUUUUAUAGAUCGUACAUAGAAGCUAGAAAAAUAAUAAUUACACCACUGAAAUCAGUACAUUGAAUUGUUUUGUUAGACAUGAAUACUUUUUAUGAUGAAAAUAUAUUUAGAAAGUUAUACAAUGAAACAUGUUGAACUUUCAAUGAUUUUCUCGAUAACACCUGAUUAACAGACUUUAGCCAACCCGAUUAACAGACCAACCGCCGAUAUAGCCGCAUACUCAAUAUAGAUUAACCGACCAAUCUCUCGGUUAGCCG
rnacentral:lncRNA from 1 species